UACGAAGGGGGCUAGCGUUGCUCGGAAUCACUGGGCGUAAAGCGCACGUAGGCGGCCAACUAAGUCAGACGUGAAAUCCCCAGCUUAACCUGGGAACUGCGUCUGAUACUGGAUGGCUUGAAUUCGGGAGAGGGAUGCAGAAUUCCAGGUGUAGCGGUGAAAUGCGUAGAUAUCUGGAGGAAUACCGGUGGCGAAGGCGGCAUCCUGGACCGACAUUGA
rnacentral:rRNA from 1 species